rnacentral:lncRNA from 1 species
AUGUCACCCAUUGUCACCCAAUGUCCCCUUGGUGUCACCUGGUGUCACCCAUUGUCACCCAGUGCCACCCAAUCUCCCCUUAGUGUCACCCAAUUGUCACCCAUUGUCCCCUUAGUGUCACCCCUUAGUGUCACCCCUUGUCACCCAGUGUCCCUUCAGUGUCACCCACUGUCCCCCCACUGUCACCCCACUGUCACUCAAUGUCACCCACCGUCCCUUCAGUGUCACCCAGUGUCACCUAUUGUCCCUCAGUGUCACCCAUUGUCCCUUCAUUGUCACCCGUUGUCCCCCCGUUGUCACCCACUGUCACCCAGCGUCCCCUCAUUGUCACCCCUUGUCCCUUCAUUGUCACCUGUUGUCACCCAUUGUCACCCCACUGUCACCCCACUGUCACCCAUGGGUGUCCCCUGGGUUGGGAUUUUGGGGUUCCUCGGGGCUCUCUGUCCCCUCUUUGUCACCCGUUGUGUCCCCAAAUGUCCCCAAACGACCCCAAGUGUCCUUAAACGGCCCCAAAUGCCCCCAAAGUAGCCCCAAAUG